GAUGAACGCUGGCGGCGUGCUUAACACAUGCAAGUCGAACGAACGGACGAGCUUCUUGCUUCCCUGAUGUUACCGGCGGACGGGUGAGUAACACGUGGAUAACCUACCUAUAAGACUGGGAUAACUUCGGGAAACCGGAUCUAAUACCGGAUCAUAUUUUGAACCCCAUGGUUCAUCAGUGCAAGACGGUCUUGCUCUCCCGUAUAGAUGGAUCCUCGCUGCAUUAGCUAGUUGGUAAGGUAACGGCUUACCAAGGCGACGAUGCGUAGCCGACCUGAGAGGAUGAUCAGCCACACUGGAACUGAGACACGGUCCAGACUCCUACGGGAGGCAGCAGUGGGGAAUCUUGGACAAUGGGCGAAAGCCUGACGGAGCAACGCCGCGUGAGUGAUGAAGGUCUUCGGGUCGUAAAGCACUGUUGGCGGGGACGAACAUGUCUGUAAGAAUAUGAGCGCUCGUUGACGGUACCUGAAGAAAAAGCCACGGCUAACUACGUG
rnacentral:rRNA from 1 species